rnacentral:rRNA from 1 species
UCCCUAGUAGCGGCGAGCGAAGCGGGAAGAGCUCAAAUUUAUAAUCUGGCACCUUCGGUGUCCGAGUUGUAAUCUCUAGAAGUGUUUUCCGCGUUGGACCGCACACAAGUCUGUUGGAAUACAGCGGCAUAGUGGUGAAACCCCCGUAUAUGGUGCGGACGCCCAGCGCUUUGUGAUACACUUUCAAUGAGUCGAGUUGUUUGGGAAUGCAGCUCAAAUUGGGUGGUAAAUUCCAUCUAAAGCUAAAUAUUGGCGAGAGACCGAUAGCGAACAAGUACCGUGAGGGAAAGAUGAAAAGCACUUUGGAAAGAGAGUUAACAGUACGUGAAAUUGUUGGAAGGGAAACGCUUGAAGUCAGACUUGCUUGCCGGAGCUUGCUUCGGUUUGCAGGCCAGCAUCAGUUUUCCGGGGUGGAUAAUGACGGUUUGAAGGUAGCAGUCUCGGCUGUGUUAUAGCUUUCCGUUGGAUACAUCCUGGGGGACUGAGGAACGCAGCGUGCUUUUUGCGAAAGACUCGUCUUUUUCACGCUUAGGAUGCUGGUGGAAUGGCUUUAAACGACCCGUCUUGAAACACGGACCA